GCCGAUCAAGCGGGUGCCAGCAGUCGCGGUUACACCUUGGGCAGAGAUCUAAUUUAGGUAGUUGACACGAGCCAUCUAACGGGCAGGGGUAAAAUCCAGACCUUGUUAUUGGAUAUAACUUAUUCAGGAAUUUUGGGCUAAAAACGGGAUUAGAUACCCCGGUAUUCCAAAACCUACAGAGCUGCGGGUAGUAUUUACUAUUAUAAAAAACCUAAAGGGUUUGGCGGCUGCUUAUCUUUCCAGAGGGACCUGUUAUAUAAUAGAUAUUACGCACUGCACUCCACCUCUAUGAGGCAUGUAUACCGCCGUCAAAGCUCACUCUGUAGAGUGAGCUACCCUGGUAACAGUAAUGUCAGGUCAGGGUGCAGCUGGUAUAGAGGUAAUAAUGGGUAACAGUUACAGCAUAACUGGACUACACUAUGAAAAAGAGUAGAAAAGAGGAUUUGGUAGUAAUACUGGUUAAUGACACCUGUAUGAAUUAAGCGCUAAGCAGUGCACAUAUCGCCCGUCACUCUCACACAGUGAGAUAAGUCGUAACAUAGUAAGAGUACCGGAAGGUGCUCUUUUAUUUACUGAGGUAAUAA
rnacentral:rRNA from 1 species